rnacentral:rRNA from 1 species
GUUUGAUCAUGGCUCAGGAUGAACGCUAGCGGGAGGCUUAACACAUGCAAGUCGAGGGGCAGCACGAGGUAGCAAUACUUUGGUGGCGACCGGCAGACGGGUGAGUAACGCGUAUGUAACCUACCCUGUACAGGGGGAUAACCCGGAGAAAUUCGGACUAAUAUCCCAUAGAAAAAUCGGAAGGCAUCUUUUGAUAUUUAAAGUUCCGGCGGUACGGGAUGGGCAUGCGUAACAUUAGCUAGUUGGUAAGGUAACGGCUUACCAAGGCUUUGAUGUUUAGGGGUCCUGAGAGGGUGAUCCCCCACACUGGUACUGAGACACGGACCAGACUCCUACGGGAGGCAGCAGUGAGGAAUAUUGGUCAAUGGGCGCAAGCCUGAACCAGCCAUCCCGCGUGCAGGAAGACGGCCCUAUGGGUUGUAAACUGCUUUUCCAGGGGGAGAAACUUGCGUACGCGUUACGCAAUUGACGGUACCCUGGGAAUAAGCAUCGGCUAACUCCGUGCCAGCAGCCGCGGUAAUACGGAGGAUGCGAGCGUUAUCCGGAUUCAUUGGGUUUAAAGGGUGCGUAGGCGGACUAUUAAGUCAGUGGUGAAAUCCUGCAGCUUAACUGCAGAACUGCCAUUGAUACUGAUAGACUUGAGUUUGGUUAAGGUAGGCGGAAUGUGUAAUGUAGCGGUGAAAUGCUUAGAUAUUACACAGAACACCAAUUGCGUAGGCAGCUUACUGAGCCGAUACUGACGCUGAGGCACGAAAGCGUGGGGAUCGAACAGGAUUAGAUACCCUGGUAGUCCACGCCGUAAACGAUGAUUACUCGCUGUUGGCGAUACACUGUCAGCGGCUAAGCAAAAGCAAUAAGUAAUCCACCUGGGGAGUACGGC